GACGUACGCUGGCGGCGUGCCUAAUACAUGCAAGUCGAGCGCAGGAAAUCGACGGAACCCUUCGGGGGGAAGUCGACGGAAUGAGCGGCGGACGGGUGAGUAACACGUAAAGAACCUGCCCUCAGGUUUGGGAUAACCACGAGAAAUCGGGGCUAAUACCGGAUGGGUCAUCGGACCGCAUGGUCCGAGGAUGAAAGGCGCUUCGGCGUCGCCUGGGGAUGGCUUUGCGGUGCAUUAGCUAGUUGGUGGGGUAAUGGCCCACCAAGGCGACGGUGCAUAGCCGACCUGGGAGGGGGAUCGGCCACACUGGGACUGAGAGACGGCCCAGACUGCUACGGGAGGCAGCAGUAGGGAAUCUUCCACAAUGGACGAAAGUCUGAUGGAGCAACGCCGCGUGAACGAUGAAGGCCUUCGGGUCGUAAAGUUCUGUUGUAAGGGAAGAACAAGUGCCGCAGGCAAUGGCGGCACCUUGACGGUACCUUGCGAGAAAGCCACGGCUAACUACGUGCCAGCCGCCGCGGUAA
rnacentral:rRNA from 1 species